AAUAUCUGUAAUCUGAUUGGUUGAGAGUAGCUGUGAACACACUCAAACGUUUAAUUAACAACAUCUAGUCGGGCUCAUUUUCAAAAGCGUGACUGGAAUUUUGAGCUUUCGAAAUAUACGUUCGGAAAUCGUGAUAACUUACAUUACAAUGGCUUCGGCUAAUGAAAUCGAUAUAAUAAGUGAACUACAAAAGAAACCCUUUUCUGUUCGACAGUCAGGCGAGCAAAAUAUACUCGUAAAGCAGCGGCCAAUUCCAAAUUUACAAGCGACUACAGGCAAUAGAAGCUUUCAGGAAAGUUGGUACUCGAAGAAAGAUUGGCUUUGUUGUAGCUCAGAAAAGAAUGCAUUGUUCUGUUGGCCUUGUCUUUUAUUUUGCCCUGGAUCGUCAUCUUCAUGGACGCAGACGGGAUUCAAAACAUGAAGAAUUUCCUAUCCGAUUGUAAGAAGCAUGAGAAGGCAAAAUCGCACAUGGGUGCCUACAAGACCUGGAAGACCUACGGUUUUCAGCCUCGUAUCGACUGUCUCAUGUCACAAACUAGACGUGAAGAGAUUCAGCGUCAUAACGAGGAGUAUACAGGUUGAUGAGGCAACUGAUGUUUCUACCAAAGAACAAUUGAAUGGACAAAGGGGAAAGUGUCAUUGAAAGACAGCUUGGGUUUGUUGAUGUUAGUUGUGAUAGGACUGACACUGCUUAUCAUCAGUGGUUAAGGGUAAGUUAAGUCAAUAUAAUAAUGUGAAAGAGAAAUUUAUUGGACAGACUUAUGAUGGUGCAUCUGUUAUGUCUGGUCAUCUCAAUGGUGUUCAAGCUCAAGUUCAGCAGGAUUAUCCUUAUGCUCAAUUUGUUCACUGUGCUGCCCAUAGACUAAAUCUAGUAUUAUGUCAAGCUGCAUCCUCCAUCUCACCUGUUAAGAUUUUCUUUGUUAAUAUUAGUGCUUUCUGCACCUUUACUAGCAAUUCCCCCUAAAAGAAAAGCUUUACUAUCAUCCCAUAGGCUUGAGUUUCCUAGUCCUGGUGACACAAGAUGGUAUUUAUAGGGCUCAUGUCAUCAAUGUAUUGCAUUCUAACUAUGAGAAACUGAUAGACAUAUUUGAAAAUCUUACUGAUAAUCCAAUAAAUAAGGUUACUGGUUUACUUGGCUACCUUAAUGGCUUCUUGUUUUGUUUCUUGGUACAUGUUUGUCGGAGAAUUCUUGAGCAGUCAUCCGUACUUUAUUCUAUCUUGCAAGACAAGGACACUGACUUUCAUUAUGGAAUGAGUAGGUUUGAGAGAAUAUUGUCAGGUGUACAACCUGGCUGUUGAGAAAGUGGGACCACCAGUAACCAGGUAUGACCAACGGCAUAAUUACAAACAAAUGUAUUUUGAAAUUCUUGACACAAUUGUGACUAUGCUGACUGAGCGAUUUCAGGAUAUGGAGCGUUUUAGAUUUUUGACCUUGUUAAUCCUAGGGUGUUUAAGAUGUAGGAAGGUGAAGUGCCCUCAGAAAAUAUAAAUCUUCUAAAGGAGGUUUAUGGUGAUAUGUUUGACAUACCAAUGCUAGUUAGCCAACUUUGUUUUAUUUACAGAGAUAAAGACUUUCACUGUGAUUCAUGCGAUGAAUUAUUGAAAUAUAUUUUUCAGUUCCAUUAUCAAUCUAGUAUUCCAGAAGUUAAAGAUAAAUGGGGUUUUGUCAAUUACAAGUGCUUCAGUUCAGAGGAUUUCCAUUCACAAAGACAUACUGUCAGAGAAAGAAGACGCCAACACAUUGCAUGAUGAGGUAUUCAUAUAUGGCUGAUAGCAAGCUGAUGAUGUCUUACGUCCAUGGCAUGUGAGAAUUUUUCCGGGAACUUUUUAAUGCAGUCAAUGAUGAUUGUCAUUUCAGCACGACAAUUUCAUCACAACUUUUGAUAGUUGUUAAUGACAAAUCUGAGCCUUUUUCGGUUCUUUUGUCAAAGUUUUUUUACAAGAUGUACAUAGGUAUCUAUUUAUGUAUGUGGUGUUGAGAAAAUAAAU